ensembl:lncRNA
GCUGUGCUGGUGCCGGCGGCGGCGGAAGGACGAACCUCUCUAUGAAGUUGCUUUCCGCAGCACUGCAGAGGUCGCCCUGCUGCACCCUGAGGUGGAAGUCCCUGUUAAGUGCCUACGGGAGGAAAUGUGCUCUAGCAGUGAAAAGAUCACCGUGAAAGACAAGAAGAGCCUUGAGUAUGAGAACCUUGUGACUGCAAUGGAAUCUCAAUAUGAAACAGGAGGAUUUUAAUAGAGUACCAGCUUUUCCACAUAAGCAGCCAUGUGGGGCUGCAGGUACUGAAUAGUGAACUUAGCAAAAGGAAACUCUUCCUCCUGUUGUCCCUCUGGUCUGCUUUCACUGCUUGCUUUAACCCAGAGGAGCUGCUAAACCUUUUGGUCUUUGGCAGACCAGGCCCUGCCUGCGGGAGCAGAACCCCUCAGCCAACAGUUUGUCUACCCACUUCCACAGAGCAAAUUGUUUCUGAGCAACCUGAAGGACCAAGGGCAGGAAGACAGGAUCUGAAGGAGUGAGAACAUGAAAUUCUUUAGCCUGUAAAUCCAGGAGUAGUUUGUGCAAUGCUGCUGGUCAGUAACACUAGCAAGGGAUACUCUCCCAUGUGUAUUCCUGUUAAGACAUCCCAGGCUGCAAGGAACCAGGAUUGUGCUGGAAAUGGAGAAUCUAUGGCUUUUGCAGAUCAGCAAAUACUGGUUAUACAUCCUGCCUGUGAUUGAGUCUUUCUCUUUUUUUUGUUACAGCAUGGUAAAAGGACCACAGAGGGGAGGUUGAUGUCCCAGGAAUGCCAUUUUUGCUAUCAGACUGGAGCUCAGUGCUCAGAGAGAGAGGGAAUGAGUCUCUGAACUAUCACCCACUAGUUUUCUCCUGGAAAACAAGAACUGAUGUUGAAAGAAAUGCUGGCAUUUAAUUUUUACAGUAUGGGGGCCAGAAGCUUGAUAAAAUAGAGAGAAAUUUGAGGCAUUUGGAUAAUGAUUGAGUAAGGAACCUCUCUGAAUACAACAGAUGGGCACCAAUUUACUCUAGGGGAUGUAAGUCAGCCUGUGUGAUUACUAAUGCUGGCCAUGCAACAUGGAUGCAAUUCUUGCCUUCAGCUGCAGUGUAUUCCCUACAGUACACUGUCACUCAGCAGCCUGACUUGCCUCAUCAAUGUAAAUUGUUUGUAUCUUGCCUGUACUGCAGUGCUGCUGUCAGUUCUGACCUCUCUGUGCCUCCAGCCAGCAUCCUUUUGUCCUGCAGGCUUGGCAGGGAAGAGGAGGGCUGCCUCCUGGCUUUAGCAAAACAAAUUGGUAAGAAUCACUGGCUUUUUUCUAUCAGUGGGUGCAGUAAGGAAAGCAUGGGGAAGCAGCUGAGCUCAAGUCACACACACCCUCCUGCCUGGCCCUGACUUCACCCACAAGGCUCAUCUCUGCUGCCAUGGAUCAUCUCUUUUUGGGUCAGCAGCCUAACAGCAGGGUCACUUUGCUGAUUGUGGCCUGAGUGCUGUGUAGAGCCACUUUUACCUUUACACCCCUGAAUUGCAGGAUGUGAGGUGGGAAAGAUCAGAGAAAAAAAUCUCCUGCCUAUAUUGUGAGGGCUUCACUAGCACCGUGACAGCCAUGCAGGGAGGGCUGUGCUGGGUGUCAGGCUGUCCUCCAGGGAGGCAAAGUCUGGAUCCAGUCUGUCCCUGUGGGACUCGUGGCAGCCAGCCCUGAAGACCCCAUGCUGCAGAAGCUGCUGGCAUCAGCAGUUCCAGGGGUGGUGCAGAACAAAGGAGUUGAGGGGAAUGGAGAGCUGCAGCCAUGCUCACGCAGGGCAGUAGCAUAUGGUGCAAGGUCAGUGCUGGGUGGGAAGGGAACUGAAAAUUUCUCAGCUUCCCCAUCCUUACCUCAGCAAAUCUAGGCCCAAAACACAUCACAUGGCACUCUCCUUCACCACCACACCCCACCCCCCCCCAAAUGCAAUCCUCAUUAAUUUUCAAUUAGCUUUGUUUUUUCUGCAAGUUUUCUUGCUGUUAAAAGCUCUGAGCUCCAGGUUCACUCAUUGACUAUGUAACACCAUGAUUUUUCCAUCUUGUGGUUCCUCCCAGCACUAAUCUGCUCUGACAAGGUCUGGGCACCUUCCUUGGAAGACAUGAAUCCUGGGAGAAACUACAGAGGAAGAAGGCAACAGGAGUUAAGGAGAGCAGAUGGACCAGCCCCCAUGUACUCCCCUAGUUAGGGCAGCAACAGGACUUUGGUCACAAGUAGUAGAACAGUGGAAACAUUAGAAGCCUGUCUCCAGUGCUGAGGUGUUUUUCCCUGGGUAACAAGUAUGUGAUUAUUUCUUUAUUUUACUUUUAGCAUGUUUUCCAUGUUUCUAGUAAAACCUCUUGGCAAUGGAACAUUUUUCUUCUGAAAGCCACAGAGGGUUCUGCUGUGUUGCAUCAAACCAGAAAACUUCUCCUUUGCUUGCAAUGUGCUCAUCUGCUGAGCUCUGCUCCAGAACGGAAGGAAAAGCUCAGCUUCUGCCCUGAAAGGACACUGCCUCCCAAAAACACACCAUCCUGAGUGGCCAGCAAAGUGUCAUGAGACUCCCAAUUCCCCUUGCAGUGCCUGUCCCAUGGAGGGGACCUGAUGGCUUUUACACUUGCUGGGUUUGUACCAUACUUCAGGGCAGGGAGGUGGGAGAUGAAGUCCCAGAGAAAUUUGUCCCACUUUAAUUUGAUGCUUGUUCUUGUAAGAGAGGAAGGGGUUUACUUUCUUCCCCUUCACCCCAGUCAUCUGGAAGGAUCUGGAAGCUGAAAGGGAGAGUUAUCUAUAAAACAGAGGGCAAACUACUGGAAGCAAAAAUUGGAAAGGCAUGAGAAAACAAGAAUGAAGGGCAUAAACAAACCCUUGGCCAGCUGUGGUGCACAGGAGUUUGGGUAUGUUGAAACCUUGAGGUUUGAGUGACAGCAAGGCUUGGGGCUGACAUGGCUGUGUGCUUCAUGGAGGAUCCACUGGGGACAAAGCAAAGCUUGAAAUCAUAGACCUUGCUCUCUUUUGAAGAUAACCUCCAUGAUAAAGAUCAGGGUGAUGUCUGUGAGUCAUGAGGAGGUGCCUGUGAGAGACCAUGGGAGUGUGAGUCAUAAGGAGUAGGGCCAUUUCUGGACCACUUGUGGACCGUGUUUGUCCAGAAGUGCACAAUCAAGUCAAAAAGCAGAACACAAUUUGCUUAGGCAAUGAUACACAUUCAUGGGUUCCAGCUUUGUAGAAACUCCAGCUUCUUCAAAAUAUUUGCUAA